AUUGAACGCUGGCGGCAGGCCUAACACAUGCAAGUCGAGCGGAUGAAGGGAGCUUGCUCCUGGAUUCAGCGGCGGACGGGUGAGUAAUGCCUAGGAAUCUGCCUGGUAGUGGGGGAUAACGUCCGGAAACGGGCGCUAAUACCGCAUACGUCCUGAGGGAGAAAGUGGGGGAUCUUCGGACCUCACGCUAUCAGAUGAGCCUAGGUCGGAUUAGCUAGUUGGUGGGGUAAAGGCCUACCAAGGCGACGAUCCGUAACUGGUCUAGAGGAUGAUCAGUCACACUGGAACUGAGACACGGUCCAGACUCCUACGGGAGGCAGCAGUGGGGAAUAUUGGACAAUGGGCGAAAGCCUGAUCCAGCCAUGCCGCGUGUGUGAAGAAGGUCUUCGGAUUGUAAAGCACUUUAAGUUGGGAGGAAGGGCAGUAAGUUAAUACCUUGCUGUUUUGACGUUACCAACAGAAUAAGCACCGGCUAACUUCGUG
rnacentral:rRNA from 1 species